rnacentral:rRNA from 1 species
GGGUUGUGAGGUUAAGCGACUAAGCGUACACGGUGGAUGCCCUGGCAGUCAGAGGCGAUGAAGGACGUGCUAAUCUGCGAUAAGCGCCGGUAAGGUGAUAUGAACCGUUAUAACCGGCGAUUUCCGAAUGGGGAAACCCAGUGUGAUUCGUCACACUAUCAUUAACUGAAUCCAUAGGUUAAUGAGGCGAACCGGGGGAACUGAAACAUCUAAGUACCCCGAGGAAAAGAAAUCAACCGAGAUUCCCCCAGUAGCGGCGAGCGAACGGGGAGGAGCCCAGAGCCUGAAUCAGCAUGUGUGUUAGUGGAAGCGUCUGGAAAGGCGCGCGAUACAGGGUGACAGCCCCGUACACAAAAGCGCAUGUGCUGUGAGCUCGAUGAGUAGGGCGGGACACGUGGUAUCCUGUCUGAAUAUGGGGGGACCAUCCUCCAAGGCUAAAUACUCCUGACUGACCGAUAGUGAACCAGUACCGUGAGGGAAAGGCGAAAAGAACCCCGGCGAGGGGAGUGAAAAGAACCUGAAACCGUGUACGUACAAGCAGUGGGAGCACAGGUUUACCUGUGUGACUGCGUACCUUUGUAUAAUGGGUCAGCGACUUAUAUUCUGUAGCAAGGUUAACCGAAUAGGGAGCCGGAGGGAAACCGAGUCUUAAUUGGGCGUUAAGUUGCAGGGUAUAGACCCGAAACCCGGUGAUCUAGCCAUGGGCAGGUUGAAGGUUGGGUAACACUAACUGGAGGACCGAACCGACUAAUGUUGAAAAAUUAGCGGAUGACCUGUGGCUGGGGGUGAAAGGCCAAUCAAACCGGGAGAUAGCUGGUUCUCCCCGAAAGCUAUUUAGGUAGCGCCUCGUGAAUUCAUCUCCGGGGUAGAGCACUGUUUCGGCUAGGGGGCCAUCCCGGCUUACCAACCCGAUGCAAACUGCGAAUACCGGAGAAUGUUAUCACGGGAGACACACGGCGGGUGCUAACGUCCGUCGUGAAGAGGGAAACAACCCAGACCGCCAGCUAAGGUCCCAAAGUCAUGGUUAAGUGGGAAACGAUGUGGGAAGGCCCAGACAGCCAGGAUGUUGGCUUAGAAGCAGCCAUCAUUUAAAGAAAGCGUAAUAGCUCACUGGUCGAGUCGGCCUGCGCGGAAGAUGUAACGGGGCUAAACCAUGCACCGAAGCUGCGGCAGCGAACGUAUCACCCAAGACAACUUUACGGAGUUGACGAUUGACGGAGCGAAGCGACGUCAAAGCGUUCAUUAAAGUCGAGUUGGCUUAGGGAUACGUUCGUUGGGUAGGAGCGUUCUGUAAGCCUGUGAAGGUGUGUCGUGAGGCAUGCUGGAGGUAUCAGAAGUGCGAAUGCUGACAUAAGUAACGAUAAAGCGGGUGAAAAGCCCGCUCGCCGGAAGACCAAGGGUUCCUGUCCAACGUUAAUCGGGGCAGGGUGAGUCGACCCUAAGGCGAGGCCGAAAGGCGUAGUCGAUGGGAAACGGGUUAAUAUUCCCGUACUUGGUGUUACUGCGAAGGGGGGACGGAGAAGGCUAUGUUGGCCGGGCGACGGUUGUCCCGGUUUAAGCGUGUAGGUGUGUGUUCCAGGUAAAUCCGGUUCACUUUAACACUGAGGCGUGACGACGAGGCACUACGGUGCUGAAGCAACAAAUGCCCUGCUUCCAGGAAAAGCCUCUAAGCAUCAGGUAACACGAAAUCGUACCCCAAACCGACACAGGUGGUCAGGUAGAGAAUACCAAGGCGCUUGAGAGAACUCGGGUGAAGGAACUAGGCAAAAUGGUGCCGUAACUUCGGGAGAAGGCACGCUGACACGUAGGUGAAGUGAUUUACUCAUGGAGCUGAAGUCAGUCGAAGAUACCAGCUGGCUGCAACUGUUUAUUAAAACACAGCACUGUGCAAACACGAAAGUGGACGUAUACGGUGUGACGCCUGCCCGGUGCCGGAAGGUUAAUUGAUGGGGUCAGCGCAAGCGAAGCUCCUGAUCGAAGCCCCGGUAAACGGCGGCCGUAACUAUAACGGUCCUAAGGUAGCGAAAUUCCUUGUCGGGUAAGUUCCGACCUGCACGAAUGGCGUAAUGAUGGCCAGGCUGUCUCCACCCGAGACUCAGUGAAAUUGAACUCGCUGUGAAGAUGCAGUGUACCCGCGGCAAGACGGAAAGACCCCGUGAACCUUUACUAUAGCUUGACACUGAACAUUGAGCCUUGAUGUGUAGGAUAGGUGGGAGGCUUUGAAGUGUGGACGCCAGUCUGCAUGGAGCCGACCUUGAAAUACCACCCUUUAAUGUUUGAUGUUCUAACGUGGACCCGUAAUCCGGGUUGCGGACAGUGUCUGGUGGGUAGUUUGACUGGGGCGGUCUCCUCCUAAAGAGUAACGGAGGAGCACGAAGGUUGGCUAAUCCUGGUCGGACAUCAGGAGGUUAGUGCAAUGGCAUAAGCCAGCUUGACUGCGAGCGUGACGGCGCGAGCAGGUGCGAAAGCAGGUCAUAGUGAUCCGGUGGUUCUGAAUGGAAGGGCCAUCGCUCAACGGAUAAAAGGUACUCCGGGGAUAACAGGCUGAUACCGCCCAAGAGUUCAUAUCGACGGCGGUGUUUGGCACCUCGAUGUCGGCUCAUCACAUCCUGGGGCUGAAGUAGGUCCCAAGGGUAUGGCUGUUCGCCAUUUAAAGUGGUACGCGAGCUGGGUUUAGAACGUCGUGAGACAGUUCGGUCCCUAUCUGCCGUGGGCGCUGGAGAACUGAGGGGGGCUGCUCCUAGUACGAGAGGACCGGAGUGGACGCAUCACUGGUGUUCGGGUUGUCAUGCCAAUGGCACUGCCCGGUAGCUAAAUGCGGAAGAGAUAAGUGCUGAAAGCAUCUAAGCACGAAACUUGCCCCGAGAUGAGUUCUCCCUGAGACUUAGAGUCUCCUGAAGGAACGUUGAAGACGACGACGUUGAUAGGCCGGGUGUGUAAGCGCAGCGAUGCGUUGAGCUAACCGGUACUAAUGAACCGUGAGGCUUAACCUUACAACGCCGAAG